rnacentral:rRNA from 1 species
GACGAACGCUGGCGGCGUGCCUAAUACAUGCAAGUCGAGCGGACUGAAUGGGAGCUUGCUCUUGUUCGGUCAGCGGCGGACGGGUGAGUAACACGUGGGCAACCUGCCCGCAAGACCGGGAUAACUCCGGGAAACCGGAGCUAAUACCGGAUAACACCGAAGACCGCAUGGUCUUUGGUUGAAAGGCGGCGCAAGCUGCCACUUGCGGAUGGGCCCGCGGCGCAUUAGCUAGUUGGUGAGGUAACGGCUCACCAAGGCGACGAUGCGUAGCCGGCCUGAGAGGGUGACCGGCCACACUGGGACUGAGACACGGCCCAGACGCCUACGGGAGGCAGCAGUAGGGAAUCUUCCGCAAGGGGCGAAAGCCUGACGGAGCGACGCCGCGUGAGCGAAGAAGGCCUUCGGGUCGUAAAGCUCUGUUGUGAGGGACGAAGGAGCGCCGUUUGAAGAAGGCGGCGCGGUGACGGUACCUCACGAGGAAGCCCCGGCUAACUACGUG